CGCGUAGGCGGCUUGCCAAGUCAGGGGUGAAAUCUUUCGGCUCAACCGGAAAAGUGCUUCUGAUACUGGCAGGCUGGAGGGAGGUAGGGGCAGAUGGAACUUCCGGUGGAGCGGUGAAAUGCGUAGAUAUCGGAAGGAACGCCGGUGGCGAAAGCGAUCUGCUGGAUCUCUUCUGACACUGAUGCGCGAAAGCCAGGGGAGCAAACGGGAUUAGAUACCCCGGUAGUCCUGGCCCUAAACGAUGGGUACUAGGUUGUGGACUUGACAUGGGUUCACAGCCGAAGCAAAAGUGUUAAGUACCCCGCCUGGGGAGUAUGGUCGCAAGGCUGAA
rnacentral:rRNA from 1 species